rnacentral:rRNA from 1 species
ACGCGAGCUGGGUUCAGAACGUCGUGAGACAGUUCGGUCCCUAUCUGUCGUGGGCGCAGGAAAUUUGAGGAGCUCUGUCCUUAGUACGAGAGGACCGGGAUGGACGCACCGCUGGUGCACCAGUUGUCAUGCCAAUGGCACAGCUGGGCAGCUAAGUGCGGAUCGGAUAAACGCUGAAAGCAUCUAAGCAUGAAGCCGGCUCCAAGAUAAGAUUUCCCAUGGAAUAAUCCAGUAAGACCCCUUAUAGACUAUAAGGUUGAUAGGUUGCAGGUGUAAGCGUGGUGACACGUUCAGCUUGGCAAUACUAAUCGGUCGAGGGCUUGACCUU